rnacentral:rRNA from 1 species
AGGUAACCUGCCUUGUAGCGGGGGAUAACUAUUGGAAACGAUAGCUAAUACCGCAUAACAAUGGAUGACACAUGUCAUUUAUUUGAAAGGGGCAAUUGCUCCACUACAAGAUGGACCUGCGUUGUAUUAGCUAGUAGGUGAGGUAAUGGCUCACCUAGGCGACGAUACAUAGCCGACCUGAGAGGGUGAUCGGCCACACUGGGACUGAGACACGGCCCAGACUCCUACGGGAGGCAGCAGUAGGGAAUCUUCGGCAAUGGGGGCAACCCUGACCGAGCAACGCCGCGUGAGUGAAGAAGGUUUUCGGAUCGUAAAGCUCUGUUGUAAGUCAAGAACGGGUGUGAGAGUGGAAAGUUCACACUGUGACGGUAGCUUACCAGAAAGGGACGGCUAACUACGUGCCAGCAGCCGCGGUAAUACGUAGGUCCCGAGCGUUGUCCGGAUUUAUUGGGCGUAAAGCGAGCGCAGGCGGUUUGAUAAGUCUGAAGUUAAAGGCUGUGGCUCAACCAUAGUUCGCUUUGGAAACUGUCAAACUUGAGUGCAGAAGGGGAGAGUGGAAUUCCAUGUGUAGCGGUGAAAUGCGUAGAUAUAUGGAGGAACACCGGUGGCGAAAGCGGCUCUCUGGUCUGUAACUGACGCUGAGGCUCGAAAGCGUGGGGAGCGAACAGGAUUAGAUACCCUGGUAGUCCACGCCGUAAACGAUGAGUGCUAGGUGUUGGAUCCUUUCCGGGAUUCAGUGCCGCAGCUAACGCAUUAAGCACUCCGCCUGGGGAGU